rnacentral:rRNA from 1 species
CUUGGUAACGAUAGCUAGAGAGGUACACCUGUUCCCAUCCCGAACACAGAAGUUAAGCCACUAAACGCCGAAAAUAGUGUAAGCGAAGAUAGGUAGUUGCCAAGA